rnacentral:rRNA from 1 species
CCUACGGGUGGCAGCAGUGAGGAAUAUUGGUCAAUGGGCGCGAGCCUGAACCAGCCAAGUAGCGUGAAGGAUGACUGCCCUACGGGUUGUAAACUUCUUUUAUAAAGGAAUAAAGUGAGGCACGUGUGCCUUUUUGUAUGUACUUUAUGAAUAAGGAUCGGCAAACUCCGUGCCAGCAGCCGCGGUAAUACGGAGGAUGCGAGCGUUAUCCGGAUUUAUUGGGUUUAAAGGGUGCGUAGGCGGACUGUUAAGUCAGCGGUAAAAGCCCGGGGCUCAACCCCGGCGAGCCGUUGAAACUGGCUGUCUUGAGAUGUCGAGAGGUAUGCGGAAUGCGCAGUGUAGCGGUGAAAUGCAUAGAUAUCACGCAGAACCCCGAUUGCGAAGGCAGCAUACCGGCGCCCUACUGACGCUGAGGCACGAAAGUGCGGGUAUCGAACAGGAUUAGAUACCCUUGUAGUC